AUGGAGCUGCUGUGCUGCGAGGUGGACCCGGUCCGCAGGGCCCUGCCAAACGCCACCCUGCUCUAUCUACGACGACCGCGUUUUGCAGAACUUCCUCACCAGCGAGGAGCACUACCUUCCCCAGUGCUCAUACUUCAAAUGCAUGCAGGAGGACAUCCAGCCCUACAUGCUCAGGAUGGUGGCCACCUGGAUGCUGGAGGUUUGCGAGGAACAGAAGCGUGAAGAGGAGGUUUUCCCUUUGGCCAUGAAUUACCUGGACCACUUCUGGGCUGGAGUCCCAACUCCUAAGACUAAUCUGCAGCUCCUGGGUGCUGUCUGCAUGUUCCUGGCCUCCAAGCUCAAAGAGACCAUCCCUCUGAUGGCAGAGAAGUUGUGCAUUUAUACUGACAACUCUAUCAAGCCUCAGGAGCCGCUGGAGUGGGAGCUGGUGGUGCUGGGGAAAUUGAAGUGGAACCUGGCGGCCGUCUCUCCUCACGACUUCAUCGAGCACAUCCUUCGUAAGCUGCCCCAGCCAAGUGAGAAGUUGUCUCUGACCCGCAAGCACGCGCAGACCUUCAUUGCUCUGUGUGCCACUGAUUUUAAGUUCGCCAUGUACCCGCCAUCCAUGAUUGCAACUGGAAGUGUGGGAGCAGCCAUCUGUGGGCUCCAGCAGGAUGAGGACGUGAGCUCGCUCACUGGCGAUGCCCUGGUCGACCUGCUGGCCAAGAUCACCAGCACGGAUGUGGCCUGCCAGCAGCAGAUUGAGAUGGUGCUGCUCAACAGCCUGCAGCAGUUCCGUCAGACCCAGGGGGAUGGGUCCAAGUCGGAGGAUGAACUAGACCAGGCCCGCACCCCUACGGACGUGCGGGAUAUUGACUUGUGAGGAUGCAGUCGGGCCGAAUGGGACAGAUGCGCUCACAUCUGCUCUCGUUUUCUCUCUGGUUGUGUUUUGUUCUUUAUGUUUUAGGAUGAAAC